rnacentral:rRNA from 1 species
UUAAUUGAAGAGUUUGAUCAUGGCUCAGAUUGAACGCUGGCGGCAGGCCUAACACAUGCAAGUCGAGCGGUAGCACAGAGGAGCUUGCUCCUGGGCUGACGAGCGGCGGACGGGUGAGUAAUGUCUGGGAAACUGCCCGAUGGAGGGGGAUAACUACUGGAAACGGUAGCUAAUACCGCAUAACGUCUUCGGACCAAAGUGGGGGACCUUCGGGCCUCACACCAUCGGAUGUGCCCAGAUGGGAUUAGCUAGUAGGUG